rnacentral:rRNA from 1 species
CAGCCGAGCGGUAUUUAUUCUUCGGAAUAGAGAGAGCGGCGUACGGGUGCGGAACACGUGUGCAACCUGCCUUUAUCAGGGGGAUAGCCUUUCGAAAGGAAGAUUAAUACCCCAUAAUAUUUAGGAUGGCAUCAUUUUAAAUUGAAAACUACGGUGGAUAAAGAUGGGCACGCGCAAGAUUAGAUAGUUGGUGAGGUAACGGCUCACCAAGUCAGUGAUCUUUAGGGGGCCUGAGAGGGUGAUCCCCCACACUGGUACUGAGACACGGACCAGACUCCUACGGGAGGCAGCAGUGAGGAAUAUUGGACAAUGGGUGAGAGCCUGAUCCAGCCAUCCCGCGUGAAGGACGACGGCCCUAUGGGUUGUAAACUUCUUUUGUAUAGGGAUAAACCUAGAUACGUGUAUCUAGCUGAAGGUACUAUACGAAUAAGCACCGGCUAACUCCGUGCCAGCAGCCGCGGUAAUACGGAGGGUGCAAGCGUUAUCCGGAUUUAUUGGGUUUAAAGGGUCCGUAGGCGGAUCAGUAAGUCAGUGGUGAAAUCUCAUAGCUCAACUAUGAAACUGCCAUUGAUACUGCUGGUCUUGAGUAAGGUAGAAGUAGCUGGAAUAAGUAGUGUAGCGGUGAAAUGCAUAGAUAUUACUUAGAACACCARUUGCGAAGGCAGGUUACUAUGUCUUAACUGACGCUGAUGGACGAAAGCGUGAGGAGCGAACAGGAUUAGAUACCCUGGUAGUCCACGCUGUAAACGAUGCUAACUCGUUUUUGGGCUUUAUGGUUCAGAGACUAAGCGAAAGUGAUAAGUUAGCCACCUGGGGAGUACGAACGCAAG